rnacentral:lncRNA from 1 species
GAAUUGGCCAGCCCUCAAACCAAAACAGGUUCAGAGAGACUCUGGCCUGCCUCAUGGUAGAAAAAGAUUUAUAGACAGAAAAAGGAAAGUGAUGUACAGAAAACAGAAAUGAGGUACAGAAACAGCUGAAUUGGUUACUGCUUGGUGUUUGCUUUUUUUUUUUUUUUUAAUAUGGUUUGAACAGUUGGCUGCCUUUCAUUGGCUGAAACUCAGUGAUUGGCCUGAGUAGAUUACAUCCAGUUAGGUUCACACACCCAGUUACGUUACGAUUCACUAAGUUUGGAGUUCAGCCUGUAGGCUGAACUUAAAAUACAUAAAGAGGCAGCAUUGGGCUAAACUUAAUUUAACACACUAAAGGGUACUUAGCAAACCUUGUUCUUGUAGCUUCCUCUGGUACCAUCUCCAGGCAGAGAAGCGAGAUGCAUCUAAAGCUGUCUGCAGUGGUUAACCUUCAUUCUCCUUGGCAGAAGAUGGGACAGGACACAUUCUUUGGAAAUCUAUGUCCUGCUCUUAGGCAAAUAGAGAGAAGAGAGCUUUCCUGCAUCUGCUUCUUAAUUGUCUUCAGCUCAACAAUCCUUCAUAUUUGGGGGCAGCCUAUUCUGGUCUCCCGCAUAGACAAAGGUGGCAGAGAAUGUGAAAAGAUUUUAAUAGUUGUGAACAGGUGGUAGGAUUGUGGCUUCUCCUUUUGGGUUUCUAACUGUCUAAAAAGUUAGCAUAGUCUUCAUACUAAAAUAAUUUCAGUACAUUUUUCUGAUAAAAUGGUACAAAUAUAGGCAUAUUGUUUACAUCUGAAGACCCUGAAACUUCCAAUUCCAAUUCUGAAGCUUUUCUACUAGAUACCAUAUCCACUAUUGCUAUCUUAAUUCUUUAAAAUUGUACUAGAACUCCUGUUGCUUUUAUCAGAUCUCCCCCUGGUGUCACCUUUAAAAAGUUUUGUCAUUCAGGUGAACCCAGCUGUUUAGGAACUAUUUUUAUUUUAAUUAGUAGACAUCUCCUUUCACUGUUUUUAGCAUUUUGACAGUUUAUAAGGAAGCCCUGAAAUCCCUAUUCAGUCAGAAAACCCCACUUGGAAACAAGGCCACCCUGUUAAUACGGCUGUGCAACUAUGUCAUCAGAAUUCUUUUAAACACUUGAGCAUAAGGUUUCUGGGAACAGAGGACAUGGAGUAUUUGGUGAGCAAAACCUAAAGUGUGCAUAUGCAUGACUAUAAAUGUUGGUGGCCUGAGAAGUGGUGCAAAGCCCAGAGUCUCUACCUUUAGAUCCAUCUUCCAGAGAAAUCUAAACCCAUGAGAGUCUGUGGCAGGGAAGAGCAAGAGCAUCUCUACAGUGCUCCUCAUGCUUCCUGA